GUUAUUACAUGAUGAUUAAUUAAGUUAUCCCUGUCUUACAUUAAUAAAUGGUGAUUAGAAAUGUUCUGAUAUUGAU